rnacentral:lncRNA from 1 species
CUGGGAGCUGCUCCGUGCCUUUCCUGAUGUCCUCAGGUGUGCACGCCCACUGGUGAGCAUCUGAUCCAUGCUCUGGCCCCAGCCAAAGAGGAGACCCCAAGCCAGUUCCAGCCAUCCAGUCAGUGACCCAGCACACGUAGCAGCCACAUCCGGUUGGCCGAUGGGAAGCAGAACAACACCGGCUCAGGAGGACAAGCUUCAGUGGAAAAACAUUGUCCCUUGUCAUACACAGAAGGUAGCCCAUGAUAAGAAACACAAAAUGAUGUUGAGAAUUUCUUGCAAGAUGCAGGUGUCUGCCAAAAGCUCUGAGCCUCGGGCUUGCUGUCUCUUUUUCUCCCCCCACAAGAGAGAUUUGCAAGUGUUAGAGGGGUGUUAAGGACUUACUGUCACCAAACAGAGACAUUCUCCUGGGAGUGAGAAUGGCUGAAAGGGAAUAGCUUUCUCACUGGGCGAUCCAAUGUGACUUAAUGUAACCAACCCAUGUUCCACCUAGAAAUGCCUCUCCUGCUACAGGCCAGUGUGGCACCUGGGGCAGCACCCUGUUAAUCCAUAGAAAGGGUUCAGCACAACCCCAGGCCGGCGAGUGCUCACAAGGGUGAGCUGUGAUUUCAGUGACUCCUAUGGCUCGUUGGACGCCACUGUGGACACAGUGAGGCAGCGGAGGCUAUCUUCCCAGACAAAGCAGUGGCAGGUCCCUGCAGGACCUCCCAAGGCAUCUGACCCAGGAGAUAAAUUGCAUUUGGCAAGAGACCUCAUAUCUUCAAAGGGCUCCCUGUCACCAGGGCCACUCACAGCACCUCAGUCGACCAGAGACCCUGCAGCCCUGGGCCGUCCCAGAGCACCCCACUUAGGACUUGCUUGCACGUGGCUCUCUGCAAAUGUCAGACUCCUGACAAAAUGAUAGACAAAGCUAAGUGGUGGUGACGUCUUUGACUGUCCUCUCACUGAGAGGUGGGUGCCUAUGUCCCUUCCUCUUCAGUCUGAGUGGGCUUCUAACUGCUUCCACCAGUAGCAUUGGCAGAAGUGCCACAGUGUGAUUUCUGAGGCUGGGUCACCACAGGUGAUGCUUGGAGCCCUGAGCCACUGUGUCAGGUUCAUACCUGAGGAGGCCAUACUGGGAGGAAGCCCAAGCCACACAGAGAUCAGAAGUCCAACCACCUGAAGACGCCAUACUGGGAGGAAGCCCAAGCUGCACAGAGAGGCCAAGUGUAGGUGUUCCGGCCAGUCCUAGCUAGAUCUGGACUUCAAAUUGUCCCGACCCAGACAUCAUACAUGUGAAGAGGCCUCCAGGAUGGUCCCAGUUCCCAUCCAUUUGAGUCUUCCCAGCUGAAAUUCCAGAUGUCAUGGAAGAGACAAGCCAUCCUGCUGUGUCCUGUCCAAGCUCCUUGUAACAGAACCAGCGAGCUCAAUAAAAUGGUGGUUGCCACGUGCCACUGAGGUUUGCAUCGGUUUGUUACUCAGUAAGAGAUGACGGGACAGGUGCUAAUGGAGAGGUGGGGAAGAGAGUGGUGAGGCACGCACCCCAUUCUCUCUGCAGCCCGCUUCCUCUCCGGGGCCGUGGGACAUCCAAGGCAAGAUGGUUGCUUGGGUAUCUGGCUUCUUUGGGCUGGAAGGAGAGCUGGGACCCGUGGUGGCGAACAAAGCUUGCCUGUCUUUGUGGCUCCUGGCAGAAGCCAGGAUUUUCAUGUCCUGAAGGGACUCCAGUAUCAAGGGCCAGUGCAAACCCUCGUUGGUGUCCCCAGAUGGCUAAUAGUGCCUGCUGAGCCCUGAGGACCUGGAGGGGUCCCUUAGAGCAGGAUGAAUUGUUCCCAGCCCCUAGAAUUGGCAGAGGGCCUUCAUCUAUACCUGGGGCCCCAAGCACUGAAAGCUUCUCACCCAAGAGCCAGCAGAGAGGGGAUGGCUGAUCCCUUCCCUCUACCUUCCUGAGCUUCCCAGACUCAGGGCAGAGGCUGCUGGACCAUCCACUGUCUGUCUCCCUCGACCUUCAGCCAGAACGGAUGGGGCCUGGGAGAAGACAAAGUCAUGAUAGAUCAAAGACAACAACAACUUAUCCAAGGACCCUCAGCUGCCUGGGGAAGGAAGGCCCAGGCCAAAGUGUGAUGGAGACUCAGCUGAGAAUUCUAGCCAAUAAGGGAAAGGAAGGGCAUUUCAAGAAGAGAUGGA